UACGGAGGAUGCGAGCGUUAUCCGGAUUUAUUGGGUUUAAAGGGUGCGUAGGUGGUUUUUUAAGUCAGUUGUGAAAGUUUGCGGCUCAACCGUAAAAUUGCAAUUGAAACUGAAAGACUUGAGUGUAUUUGAGGUGGGCGGAAUUCGUAGUGUAGCGGUGAAAUGCUUAGAUAUUACGAAGAACUCCGAUUGCGUAGGCAGCUCACUAAACUACAACUGACACUGAGGCACGAAAGUGUGGGUAUCAAACAGG
rnacentral:rRNA from 1 species